rnacentral:tRNA from 1 species
GUUCAAGGAUGGGAAUCGAACCCACAGUGUUCCGCUUACCGGGCAGAUGCCAUGUCCACUAGGCUACCCUGGA